CAGUACCGCGGUAAUACGGAGGGUGCAAGCGUUAAUCGGAAUUACUGGGCGUAAAGCGUGCGUAGGCGGUUCGUUAAGUCUGUUGUGAAAGCCCCGGGCUCAACCUGGGAAUGGCAAUGGAUACUGGCGAGCUAGAGUGUGUCAGAGGAUGGUGGAAUUCCCGGUGUAGCGGUGAAAUGCGUAGAGAUCGGGAGGAACAUCAGUGGCGAAGGCGGCCAUCUGGGACAACACUGACGCUGAGGCACGAAAGCGUGGGGAGCAAACAGGAUUAGAUACCCGCGUAGUCCCUGUCUCUUAUACA
rnacentral:rRNA from 1 species